CCUACGGGAGGCAGCAGUGGGGGAUAUUGCACAAUGGGGGGAACCCUGAUGCAGCGACGCCGCGUGGGUGAAGGAGUGCUUCGGCAUGUAAAGCCCUAUCGGCAGGGAAGAAGCAAGACGGUACCUGACUAAUAAGCCCCGGCUAACUACGUGCCAGCAGCCACGGUAAUACGUAGGGGGCGAGCGUUAUCCGGAUUCACUGGGUGUAAAGGGAGCGUAGACGGCUAUGCAAGCCAGUGGGGAAAGCCCGGGGCCCAACCCCGGGACUGCCCUUGGAACUGGACUGCUUUAUGGCUGGAUGGGUAGUCUGAAUUCCUGGUGUAGCGGUGAAAUGCGUAGAUAUCAGGAGGAACACCGGCGGCGAAGGUGGCCUGCUGGACCGCGACUGACGUUGAGGCUCGAAAGCGUGGGGAGCGAACAGGAUUAGAUACCCCAGUAGUC
rnacentral:rRNA from 1 species